AUUGAACGCUGGCGGCAGGCCUAACACAUGCAAGUCGAACGGUAACAGGAAGCAGCUUGCUGCUUUGCUGACGCGUGGCGGACGGGUGUGUCAUGUCUGGGAAACUGCCUGAUGGCGGGGGAUAACUACUGGAAACGGUAGCUAAUACCGCAUAACGUCGCAAGACCAAAGAGGGGGACCUUCGGGCCUCUUGCCAUCGGCUGUGCCCAGAUGGGAUUAGCUAGUAGGUGGGGUAACGGCUCACCUAGGCGACGAUCCCUAGCUGGUCUGAGAGGAUGACCAGCCACACUGGAACUGAGACACGGUCCAGACUCCUACGGGAGGCAGCAGUGGGGAAUAUUGCGCAAUGGGCGCAAGCCUGAUGCAGCAACGCCGCGUGUAUGAAGAAGGCCUUCGGGUUGUAAAGUACUUUCAGCGGGGAGGAAGGGAGUAAAGUUAAUACCUGUGCUCAUUGACGUUACCCGAAGAAGAAGCACCGGCUAACUCCGUG
rnacentral:rRNA from 1 species